GCCUGGGUGGCUCAGUCGGUUGAGCGUCCGACUUCAGCUCGGGUCAUGAUCUCACAGUUCGUGAGUUCAAGCCCCGCGUCGGGCU
rnacentral:tRNA from 1 species